AGUGAACGCUGGCGGCAGGCCUAACACAUGCAAGUCGAGCGGCAGCGCGUCCGACCACCCUCGGGUGGUCGGAUGGCGGCGAGCGGCGGACGGGUGAGGAAUGCAUCGGAAUCUGCCUCGUUGUGGGGGAUAACGUAGGGAAACUUACGCUAAUACCGCAUACGACCUACGGGUGAAAGUGGGGGACCUUCGGGCCUCACGCGAUGAGAUGAGCCGAUGCCGGAUUAGCUAGUUGGCGGGGUAAAGGCCCACCAAGGCGACGAUCCGUAGCUGGUCUGAGAGGAUGAUCAGCCACACUGGAACUGAGACACGGUCCAGACUCCUACGGGAGGCAGCAGUGGGGAAUUUUGGACAAUGGGCGCAAGCCUGAUCCAGCCAUGCCGCGUGCGGGACGAAGGCCUUCGGGUUGUAAACCGCUUUCAGCCGGAAAGAAAUCGCCAAGGCUAAUAUCCUUGGUGGAUGACGGUACCGGAAGAAGAAGCACCGGCUAACUACGUG
rnacentral:rRNA from 1 species